rnacentral:rRNA from 1 species
GACGAACGCUGGCGGCGUGCUUAACACAUGCAAGUCGAACGGAAAGGCCCUGCUUGCAGGGUACUCGAGUGGCGAACGGGUGAGUAACACGUGGGUGAUCUGCCCUGCACUUCGGGAUAAGCCUGGGAAACUGGGUCUAAUACCGGAUAGGAGCCAUUUUUAGUGUGAUGGUUGGAAAGUUUUUUCGGUGUAGGAUGAGCUCGCGGCCUAUCAGCUUGUUGGUGGGGUAAUGGCCUAACAAGGCGGCGACGGGUAGCCGGCCUGAGAGGGUGGACGGGCACAGUGGGACUGAGAUACGGCCCAGACUCCUACGGGAGGCAGCAGUGGGGAAUAUUGCAAAAUGGGCGCAAGCCUGAUGCAGCGACGCCGCGUGGGGGAUGACGGCCUUCGGGUUGUAAACUCCUUUCGCUAGGGACGAAGCUUUUUGUGACGGUACCUAGAUAAGAAGCACCGGCUAACUACGUG